CCUGUAAGACUGGGAUAACUCCGGGAAACCGGAGCUAAUACCGGAUAGUUCCUUGAACCGCAUGGUUCAAGGAUGAAAGACGGUUUCGGCUGUCACUUACAGAUGGACCCGCGGCGCAUUAGCUAGUUGGUGAGGUAACGGCUCACCAAGGCGACGAUGCGUAGCCGACCUGAGAGGGUGAUCGGCCACACUGGGACUGAGACACGGCCCAGACUCCUACGGGAGGCAGCAGUAGGGAAUCUUCCGCAAUGGACGAAAGUCUGACGGAGCAACGCCGCGUGAGUGAUGAAGGUUUUCGGAUCGUAAAGCUCUGUUGUUAGGGAAGAACAAGUGCAAGAGUAACUGCUUGCACCUUGACGGUACCUAACCAGAAAGCCACGGCUAACUACGUGCCAGCAGCCGCGGUAAUACGUAGGUGGCAAGCGUUGUCCGGAAUUAUUGGGCGUAAAGGGCUCGCAGGCGGUUUCUUAAGUCUGAUGUGAAAGCCCCCGGCUCAACCGGGGAGGGUCAUUGGAAACUGGGAAACUUGAGUGCAGAAGAGGAGAGUGGAAUUCCACGUGUAGCGCUGAAAUGCGUAGAGAUGUGGAGGAACACCAGUGGCGAAGGCGACUCUCUGGUCUGUAACUGACGCUGAGGAGCGAAAGCGUGGGGAGCGAACAGGAUUAGAUACCCUGGUAGUCCACGCCGUAAACGAUGAGUGCUAAGUGUUAGGGGGUUUCCGCCCCUUAGUGCUGCAGCUAACGCAUUAAGCACUCCGCCUGGCGAGUACGGUCGCAAGACUGAAACUCAAAGGAAUUGACGGGGGCCCGCACAAGCGGUGGAGCAUGUGGUUUAAUUCGAAGCAACGCGAAGAACCUUACCAGGUCUUGACAUCCUCUGACAACCCUAGAGAUAGGGCUUUCCCUUCGGGGACAGAGUGACAGGUGGUGCAUGGUUGUCGUCAGCUCGUGUCGUGAGAUGUUGGGUUAAGUCCCGCAACGAGCGCAACCCUUGAUCUUAGUUGCCAGCAUUCAGUUGGGCACUCUAAGGUGACUGCCGGUGACAAACCGGAGGAAGGUGGGGAUGACGUCAAAUCAUCAUGCCCCUUAUGACCUGGGCUACAC
rnacentral:rRNA from 1 species